GUACUUGAUGAUUAUAGAUGUAUUAAAGAUGUUUAAAUGAAAGAAUGUAAAGGCCUAUUUUGGUAGAUCAUGUGAUGUAAAAAAAAAUGAUGCAAAGAAUGUAAAAGAAUUUAUAUGUUGAAUGCUUGUAUGUGGUUAAAAGUUAAUCAUAUCACCUGUAUGGAUGUUUAGUUUAGUACUUUCACUCUGGCUAUUGCUUGCCCUCGUGCAAGUUAUAUGUAUUUAUGUUUCCGCAUGUGCAAUCUAUGUACUCGAUUUGUACUGGUGUUGAGCUUUGGGCGGACAGGGGAGGUGUUGUCCGUUCGGCGUCUGUUUGAC
rnacentral:lncRNA from 1 species